GCGCUCGUAGCUCAGCUGGAUAGAGUACUUGGCUACGAACCAGGCGGUCAGAGGUUCGAAUCCUCUCGAGCGCGCCA
rnacentral:tRNA from 1 species